UACGUAGGGCGCAAGCGUUGUCCGGAAUUAUUGGGCGUAAAGAGCUCGUAGGCGGCUUGUCACGUCGGGUGUGAAAGCCCGGGGCUUAACCCCGGGUCUGCAUUCGAUACGGGCAGGCUAGAGUGUGGUAGGGGAGAUCGGAAUUCCUGGUGUAGCGGUGAAAUGCGCAGAUAUCAGGAGGAACACCGGUGGCGAAGGCGGAUCUCUGGGCCACUACUGACGCUGAGAAGCGAAAGCGUGGGGAGCGAACAGG
rnacentral:rRNA from 1 species